rnacentral:snoRNA from 1 species
AUUCCAUGAUGAGGACAGGCCCAGAUGUACUCCUGGAGCCUUUCCCAUGCUUCGGGGAUGGACUCUAGUGAAGACUGCUAGAAGUUGGAUAUCUUCCCUCUUAGAGC